AGUGAACGCUGGCGGUAGGCCUAACUCAUGCAAGUCGAACGGCAGCACAGGAGAGCUUGCUCUCUGGGUGGCGAGUGGCGGACGGGUGAGGAAUACAUCGGAAUCUACUUUUUCGUGGGGGAUAACGUAGGGAAACUUACGCUAAUACCGCAUACGACCUACGGGUGAAAGCAGGGGAUCUUCGGACCUUGCGCGAUUGAAUGAGCCGAUGUCGGAUUAGCUAGUUGGCGGGGUAAAGGCCCACCAAGGCGACGAUCCGUAGCUGGUCUGAGAGGAUGAUCAGCCACACUGGAACUGAGACACGGACCAGACUCCUACGGGAGGCAGCAGUGGGGAAUAUUGGACAAUGGGCGCAAGCCUGAUCCAGCCAUACCGCGUGGGUGAAGAAGGCCUUCGGGUUGUAAAGCCCUUUUGUUGGGAAAGAAAUCCAGCUGGUUAAUACCCGGUUGGGAUGACGGUACCCAAAGAAUAAGCACCGGCUAACUUCGUGCCAGCCGCCGCAGUAA
rnacentral:rRNA from 1 species